UCUAAGGUCAUUGCGGAGUGUGAGAUCAGUCAAUACAUCAAUGAGGUCGCAGUCCUCUCUCAAAUAAACCACAAAAAUAUUGUGAAGCUCUUUGGAUGUUGUCUCGAAACCGAGGUUCCACUGCUGGUGUAUGACUAUGUAUCCAGUGGCUCGCUGUCUCAGCUUCUUCAUGCCGAUGCAAGCAUUGGUCUUUCUUUGCAUUGGGGUGAUUACUUAAGGAUUGCCUUGGAGACAGCAGGGGCUCUAUCUUAUCUCCACUCUUCAGCUUCAGUAUCUAUCUUCCAUCGUGACGUGAAGUCUUCAAAUAUACUCUUGGAUGGGAACCACACAACUAAAGUGUCAGAUUUCGGUGCAUCCAAAUUGGUUCCGGUUGAUCAAAGAUACAUUGUCACAAAUGUUCAAGGUACAUUUGGAUACUUAGAUCCAGAGUAUUUCCAUACUAGGCAGCUGAACGAAGAGGAUGCGUACAAUUUUGGUGUGGUACUAGCGGAGUUGCUUCUCAGAAUGAAGCCUGUUUUCACAAGUGAAUCAGGCACAAUCAAGAGCUUGUCAAACUAUUUUAUCCAAGAGUUCAACGAGGAAAGGAUCACAAGUAUUAUUAAUUCACAUGUCCUCGAGGAAGCAACUGAGGAAGAGAUCAAUAUUGUGGCCUCUCUUGCGGAACUGUGCUUGAGGCUACACGUCGAAGAAAGACCCACCAUGAAACAGGUAGGGAUGGAACUUCAGACUCUACAGAGAAAAUAGAUGAACUCGUCUCAGGCAGAUCCAAGGAAUGAAGAGCAGAUGCAACCAAGGUCUUUAGCUCGAAGGACUAUAUUUGCUCGGCAAUCGUCCACACGGUUCAGUGAUAGCCAAGGACGCUAUAGCUUGGAGGUAGAGUUCAUGCCAUCUGCUAGCCUACCACGUUAG
rnacentral:rRNA from 1 species